rnacentral:rRNA from 1 species
CUACAGGGGUAUCUAAUCCUGUUUGCUCCCCACGCUUUCGCACCUCAGCGUCAGUAUCGAGCCAGUGAGCCGCCUUCGCCACUGGUGUUCCUCCGAAUAUCUACGAAUUUCACCUCUACACUCGGAAUUCCACUCACCUCUCUCGAACUCCAGACCGAUAGUUUUGAAGGCAGUUCCGAGGUUGAGCCCCGGGAUUUCACCCCCAACUUUCCGGUCCGCCUACGUGCGCUUUACGCCCAGUAAUUCCGAACAACGCUAGCCCCCUCCGUAUUACCGCGGCUGCUGGCAC